rnacentral:rRNA from 1 species
AACUUUCAACAACGGAUCUCUUGGCUCUCGCAUCGA